AGAGUUUGAUCCUGGCUCAGAACGAACGCUGGCGGUAUGCUUAACACAUGCAAGUCGAACGAGAAAGCCUCUUCGGAGGUGAGUAGAGUGGCGAACGGGUGAGUAACACGUAGAUAACUUACCUUUAGGUCUGGAAUAACUAACCGAAAGGAGAGCUAAUACCGGAUAAUAUUUUAGAGCGAGUGCUUUAAAUUUGAAAGAUUUAUUGCCUAGAGAUAGGUCUGCGGGGCAUUAGCUUGUUGGUGAGGUAACUGCUCACCAAGGCAACGAUGUCUAGCGGGUUUGAGAGGACGACCCGCCACACUGGAACUGAGACACGGUCCAGACUUCUACGGAAGGCAGCAGUGGGGAAUCUUGCGCAAUGGGCGAAAGCCUGACGCAGCAAUACCGCGUGGAUGAAGAAGGCCCUUGGGUCGUAAAAUCCUUUUAUAGAAGAUGAUAAUGACAGUAUUCUAUGAAUAAGCACCGGCUAACUCCGUGCCAGCAGCCGCGGUAAUACGGAGGGUGCGAGCGUUGUUCGGAUUUACUGGGCGUAAAGAGCUUGUAGGCGGUUAUGUAAGCGAGAGGUGAAAUCCCAUAGCUUAACUAUGGAAUUGCUUUUUGAACUGCAUAACUAGAGGGAAUCAGAGGUAAGCGGAAUUCUUGGUGGAGAGGUGAAAUUCAUAGAUAUCAAGAGGAACACCGGUGGCGAAGGCAGCUUACUGGGGUUUUCCUGACGCUGAGAAGCGAAAGCGUGGGUAGCAAACAGGAUUAGAUACCCUGGUAGUCCACGCAGUAAACGAUGAGCACCAGCUGUUUGUCUUUAGAUAAGUGGCGCAGUUAACACGAUGAGUGCUCCGCCUGGGAAGUACGGUCGCAAGACUAAAACUCAAAGGAAUUGACGGGGACCCGCACAAGCGGUGGAGUAUGUGGUUUAAUUCGAUGCAACGCGAAAAACCUUACCUGGACUUGACAUCCCCUGACCGGCUUAGAAAUAAGUUUUUCCCUUCGGGGACAGGGUGACAGGUGCUGCAUGGCUGUCGUCAGCUCGUGUUGUGAAAUGUUGGGUUAAGUCUCCUAACGAGCGCAACCCCUAUUCUUAGUUGCUAACAGGUAAUGCUGAGAACUUAAAGAAGACUGCCGGUGUUAAGCCGCGGAGGAGGGUAGGGAUGACGUCAAGUCCGCAUGGCCCUUAUGUCCGGGGCUACACACGUACUACAAUGGCAACUACAAAAGGUUACAAUAUCGCGAGAUGGAGUCAAUCCCCAAAGGUUGUCUCAGUUCGGAUCGUAGUCUGCAACUCGACUACGUGAAGCUGGAAUCGCUAGUAAUCGUGGAUCAGCAUGCCACGGUGAAUACGUUCCCGGGUCUUGUACACACCGCCCAUCACACCAUGGAAGUUGAUAUUAACGGAAGACGUUGAGCCAACUGUAAAGAGGCAGAUAGCCAAGUAGAUAUCAAUGACUGGGGUGAAGUCGUAACAAGGUAACCGUA
rnacentral:rRNA from 1 species